rnacentral:lncRNA from 1 species
CACCAAACACUCAACCAUUCAGCCAUAUUUCAUCAAACACCUGCAAGGACUCCUCAACAAACCAAAGUAACAGCUAAAACACCAUGAAGAGAACACAUCUAGAUUGAACUCUUAAACCAAUCAUGUUGCUUAUUGACCCCUCCUCUUACCAAUGCAAGCAACCAUCGAGAUCAACAGGAGAAAAGGGAGAGGUGGUGUACAGCCCUUGGUCGGUGGCC